rnacentral:rRNA from 1 species
CACGUAGGGGGCAAGCGUUGUCCGGAUUUAUUGGGCGUAAAGAGCUCGUAGGCGGCUCAGUAAGUCGGGUGUGAAACCUCCAGGCUCAACCUGGAGACGCCACCCGAUACUGCUGUGGCUAGAGUCCGGUAGGGGAGCGUGGAAUUCCUGGUGUAGCGGUGAAAUGCGCAGAUAUCAGGAGGAACACCAGCGGCGAAGGCGGCGCUCUGGGCCGGAACUGACGCUGAGGCGCGAAAGCGUGGGGAGCAAACAGG